rnacentral:rRNA from 1 species
GACGAACGCUGGCGGCGUGCUUAUCACAUGCAAGUCGAACGGAAAGGCCCUGCUUUUGUGGGGUGCUCGAGUGGCGAACGGGUGAGUAACACGUGAGUAACCUGCCCUUGACUUUGGGAUAACUUCAGGAAACUGGGGCUAAUACCGGAUAGGAGCUCCUGCUGCAUGGUGGGGGUUGGAAAGUUUCGGCGGUUGGGGAUGGACUCGCGGCUUAUCAGCUUGUUGGUGGGGUAGUGGCUUACCAAGGCUUUGACGGGUAGCCGGCCUGAGAGGGUGACCGGCCACAUUGGGACUGAGAUACGGCCCAGACUCCUACGGGAGGCAGCAGUGGGGAAUAUUGCACAAUGGGCGGGAGCCUGAUGCAGCAACGCCGCGUGCGGGAUGACGGCCUUCGGGUUGUAAACCGCUUUCGCCUGUGACGAAGCGUGAGUGACGGUAAUGGGUAAAGAAGCACCGGCUAACUACGUG